AACGAACGCUGGCGGCAUGCCUAACACAUGCAAGUCGAACGAGACCUUCGGGUCUAGUGGCGCACGGGUGCGUAACGCGUGGGAAUCUGCCCUUGGGUUCGGAAUAACAGUGAGAAAUUACUGCUAAUACCGGAUGAUGUCUUCGGACCAAAGAUUUAUCGCCCAGGGAUGAGCCCGCGUAGGAUUAGCUAGUUGGUGGGUAAUGGCCUACCAAGGCGACGAUCCUUAGCUGGUCUGAGAGGAUGAUCAGCCACACUGGGACUGAGACACGGCCCAGACUCCUACGGGAGGCAGCAGUGGGGAAUAUUGGACAAUGGGCGCAAGCCUGAUCCAGCAAUGCCGCGUGAGUGAUGAAGGCCUUAGGGUUGUAAAGCUCUUUUACCCGGGAUGAUAAUGACAGUACCGGGAGAAUAAGCUCCGGCUAACUCCGUG
rnacentral:rRNA from 1 species